ensembl:lncRNA
ACUGCUUCAUAUGAGAUACGAACUGCAUGACCUGCUGAUGGCGAAGUGCUGCUUCCAUGGAAGAUGCAGCUUUAAACAAUAAGAGAAAGCAUCAACCCUCUCCUGCCAUAUUUUGAACUUUGGAGUGUGCACAAGGAUGGAAAAAUACAGAAGGAUGGAAAAACACAAGGAGUGGUGGGACACAACGCAAAGUGAGUCUGAGCUGCCUUUAACUUCAGCCUUUGCACUGUGCCAAUACACCAGGAAGAUGCAGUUUAUUCUACCAGGAAUGCUGAUAUCGCAAACACCUAUUUAAACACAGAAGUGUUGGAGGUUUGAACAUCUUUUAUGAAUACUACACCACUGUUUUAAGAAAAGACAAAUACAAGGUAUUGUUGAAGGUAUACCGCUAUAAUCUCAGAUUUUUUUAUGUACCUGCACCUUCGCUUCUGCCAGAAUUACUUGCUGCAUUCAUCUAGCUGCAGAGAGACUCUGCUGAAGGAAAGAUUGCACGCAAGGACCUCAAUUCAAUGCCAGGAGACGUGCCUUAAUCUCUGGCUCACAGCCUUGUCAAAUGCUGCAGUAAAGAACUGGCAAGCUCAGUGCUGCUAAUGGAUUGAAAUCUCCACCAGAAACAAAGAAGUUUGUCUGCGAGGCUUUUACUGAAUCUUAGCCAAAGGUACGAGUCUUUUAACGAAGAAAUACAGCUUCUACAGACUUGCUUUCUCUUCUUCAGUAUAAAUUUUGAUGUAUAAAUAACGUUCCUACGGAGACCUGGUCAUCUGCUGGUAUUGAUCACCUGCCUCCCUGUCCUCCAAGGUCUGAUUCAGUCAUAGCCUGAAACAAAUGUCAGCACCUUUACUGGAAAAUGUAGUAAACAGUGGAUUAGACAAACGAGAGGGCUGGAAAUGGGUCUGCUUCAAGUCUUACCGCAUACCUUGUGGAGUGAUGUCUGGAGAUGGUGGAGUCCUAGGGAGAAGUGUUCACCUGCUUGUUGAUUCACUGCCGGCUGUGUUCCCUGACUGCAAUCAGAGCACAUUUUCCCCUUCAGAAGUUUAGAAUCAAGGAGAAGGUAAACACAUGCCAAAUCUUGCAGUGAUGUUGGCCCGCUCCCAAAGUUGCAACAUAAUGAAGAAAACGUUCAGUUUAGAACUCUGUGCCCCUUUUUUACAACAUUCCUUAAGUUACUCAUGACAGAUGCAACUUUCCUGGCUCCAGAGGCUGAAACCAAGAUUCUGAGCUGUUAUCCUCAAGGAUAUUGCAUGAGCAAGCCCUCUCUACCAUGGCAUUACUGCUUCAUCCCAGGAAUAAUUCACCUGAUGCACCCUGAGACCUUGCUGCCUUUUUCACAGGGUAAUGUUAAUGGCUAAAAUGAUCAGAUGGGAUGUGACCUUCGGCUGCCCUGGGCAGAUUCUCCUGUGAGUCAGUGGUGGAUUUGGUUUCUACAGAGCUCAGCCACCUGCACCAGUCAAUGCUGGGGACUUCUCAAAGAAAUGGUUCCAAAUUCUCCCAGUGUUGAGUUAGCAUACUCCAAGAGGAACCCACCAGUUACAGAGGGCUUUGUAUUACUGGUCCAGGAGCAAUUUCAGUGUCAAAAUUGCCCCAGGAACUUUGGGAAUAGUUGGGCAAAAUGAUGGUCACAUCUGGCACCUCUCAUGAUGUUCCAGUUGUUUACUUAUUAGUGAGUGAGUAGCAUGUGGGGCUGCAGGAGCCCACAGGCAUCCACUUCCAAAUCCUCGGAGUUGCUGCAGUGCACAGCUCUUGCUCUUCUUUUAUUUUUUCUUUCCAAACAAGUUUUUUUAGCCUUUGACAUUUUAGGAGAAAUUUACAAAAGAAAAAGAAGAGAAAGAUAUAUUCUGAUUUCUGACAAAAUAAACUUCUGCAAGAAUUUAAGUAAGCAAUCAAAAACUAACUAUAGGUGUAAUAAGCAGAACUUUAUGUAUUUAUGCCCAUCAAAGAGGCAACAGCAGAGUAGUGUUGUCUAUCUAUGUGCAGAAAACAGUGGUUUUCUCAGCUUCAUCUCAUGAGUAUGCAGAUGUGGCUGUGGCUAAAGGAGAUGUGCUUGAAGCAGUAAUCAACCUUAUAAUUCCAAUGGUAAAAUUGCCAUGUGAAGGCAUGCAACUCCUCGAGGGCUACAUGACUCUCCAUACAGUCUUGGCACUAUGUGGGCACCAUUGGUACCCACGAUGCACCCCAGACCUUACCUACACUCUGCUCUGUGUCAGGACUCAUUUCAGGACUCAUUUUGAUCUCAUUUCAGAGGUGACUGUACUGUGGGACUGUACAGAGCCAUGCUGGAUCAGAAAUGGAAAACAGAACCAUAGCCAGCAACAGAUGGAUAGAAGAAUUUUGGCUGGAUGUUGCACAAAAAGGUCUACGUACUCUUAGGUUUGUGGUAGAAGAGUUCUCCAAGAUGCUAAUUUUAGGUACAGUUUGAUGUAGAACAUUUGUUCUUCAAUAUCGACGACCUUCUUCAAAAGCACACGUUAUUCCAGACCUUGGGUAUGACAUAAAGGGUUAAGCUGUCCUGUUGUAUGGAGAAGCCAGAGCCGCCUCACUGCUCUGUGAAAUCCAAGGAAAGCAGUGGCUCCCGAAAUGCCCUCCCUUGCCUCAACAGUUUGAAGACUGGUUUCUGUCCUAACUUGGUCUGAAUCUGCCUUUGGUGCCAUUGUGGAGGGAGAAAACACUUCAACUAUGGCUUUCCCAACAGCCUUUUCCUGGGAUGGAUAUUUUCUUCUACAGAAGAAACUUCUACAGAGAAAUUCUGAUACGGUCAACUAACUAGAGCAUCUGGUGUAUGCAGCUGGUCUAAGGAUUCAGCAAGAGGUGAGACCAGGAGCUGUUUAAUCACCACAAACAUGAAGACUAACCCAAGCAUGCUCUCCCUUCUCUGGAGGAAGUCAAGCAGCAGCACUGAGGCAUAAAUGUUCAAGUCCCUUCCAGACGUCUUGCCUGCUUCUGCCUUGAGUCACUAGAAAAACAAGGUGGUUUUGCUGGGUGGAGAUUUGUGUCAGAAUAACUUGCAGAACCGAGCCCUCAGUUUGCAAACGGCGUCGAACUUCAGUUCAUUAAAAGAAAUUUCAGAGGUGAGCUUCGUGAUGCUUUAAACAAUCACUGGAGGAAAAUAUUGGAGCUUUCCACCAAGGCCGUGAGCCAAGCCAGGUUCCAUCUGUGCACUCUCCUCUACUUGAGUGGUCACGUCCAUGUGCCAUUACUAAGGAUGUAUGGUGGAAUCAUGCCAAGCCUUCAACCUCACAUUUUGAACUUCUCAAUAAGAAAGACGGGGGGAUGGUUUUAAAAAGCAAAAGUCCAUGUUCUUAAGCAUCAUACUUGCUCUUGGUAUUACUGGCAACGGCUGCCCAGGAAUCACUGUCCCUGGAGGUAUUCCAGAACCACAGAGAUGUGACACUGAGGGACACAGUGAGUGGACAUGGUGGGAGUGGACUGCAGUUGGACUUGAUCCUAGAGUGUACAUUUAUGUCAGAGGCUUGGAUGUUUAACUUGAGUCAAGUCUGGACAGAAAAGAGAGCUCAGCGUCUUCUUAUUUUCAAUAUGGAGGGAAAAGAUGCAACUUGUUACACUGGUUUGAUGCAACCUUCCCCCAUACCACUUCUCAGAGAGCUUUAAAUAGCCCGACACUGGCACUGGGUAGGAGCUGGCAGAAGAAUGGAUUUUUUUCAUCUGAUGGCUCGCCAGGGUUGUUUUCAAGAAGGAGAAGUAGAAGAAGAAGGAAAAAAAAACAAAAAAACUUUUACAUGCCAGUCAUUCAUUGCCUGCCAGUUCCCAUGGUUCUCCUAUGGAUGGUAGCCACAUAACUAUUCAAAGUACAGUAAACACUGAGGAAAGUGAAAAGAAACUUGUGAAGAAGAGAACAGCAAAGGGAAAGAAGCUGGAUGUGGGAUACUGGUAGUAGGAGUCACACGGGGAUCCUUUUAGGAAGUACCAUGGAUGCUGACCUCAUUUCCUGCGGCAUUUUUUCCUGCAGCAGCUCCUUGGCUCUACUCAAUGAGGGACUCAGUGCAUGAUGCAGCAUCCUGGGAGAAGGUACCUCUGAGAGACAAAGGUCAGGAAAUGGGCUCCUUGCCAGGCCACGGCCACGAUCCAGGUUUUCUGAGACUGAGUACAUUCAUCUGAGCUGUUAGCUGCUACGCUCCACCGCAUCCCUGUAUGAUCUGCCUAGGCUUGGUCCCCCAGAGGAAAUUUCUGCAUGCAUACUGUAUAUGAACUUUAGAUAAAUAAAUAAACACGAGAAACAGCUUCCAGAUAAUUGAAAGCGAGUGAAGGAGGGAGCAAAAAGAAAACAAUUUCUCAGGGGAGAAGCAAGCUGAGGUGGCAGGUGCAGCCUAAAUUCAGCCAAGGUAUUUUGGUUGUUCACUACCUUCGCGUAAUUAAAUAUUGAAGCACGCUGAGCUGUGGUAUCAACAUCUGUAUGGUACAAAUACCUUUUCAGCCCAGCUGGACUCAGCUGCAUUAUCUGUGACCUGAAAAGCACAUGCUCACCUUGGUUAAAUGGGGCUCGACUCAGCAAUAUUCAGCAGAGCUGCGGCGGUUCCUGGCUCCGGCCACCAAGGCUCCACAGGAUUUUCACUGCUCAGGUGUUGCAAAGCCUAAUCCUUAUUCAGGAACCAAAACGCUCCCCUCUCCUUGCCUGCGGUGCUUGGAUGCCUGCCUUUGGCAGUAGCCCCAGACUCCUGCAGAAGAUGAAGACAUCCCUCCAUGCCUAUAGAUGGAAAAGCGCCAACAUGGAUGCCAUCAGAAGGACGCAGCUGAGCAUAUGCUGAGAAAAUUGUGGCAUCCAUACUGUACAUGGGGAAGGGCUGACUGAACACACCAGUUUGUUGAAGCUUAUGGCCCUGAAAAGGAAACAUAGGUUUCCUGUAAAUGUCAUUCAGGGAUAUGCUAACUGUUAUUUCCUGGCACUGGAUCAUGAUGCUUUCAACACAUUCUGUUCCUCUACCUCUGCUGCUACCUCUGCUGCCUGCCUGCCUGGUUGUGCGCAGUGAUAGCUCUCCUGUCUUCUCACCUUUCCUCCUCCCCGCGCCAGGCAAAGGUAUUCUGGUUGGGAGGGCCAAUGUCAGCGAGCGAGAUGACAGACGGAGAGAUGAAAUCUCAGCCCUGCACUCAGCCUGGCUGCUGCCUGUACCUGGGCCUUGCUGCACCAUCCCUUGAACGCAAAGCAAUUCAAGGAAAAGAGUAACUUCUGUUACAUUAGAAAUCACGCAUUUCUGACCCAGAAAGAGAGGAAUUUCACAGUCUCUCAGGACAUGUGCUUGAAGGGAGGAUUUCUGGAGCCUAAACCAGAGGAGCCCAGGAGCUGCUGGUGUGAAGGCUCACCGCAAGCACCUGCUGCUUCUGGAGGAGUUCCUGUGGCAAUGCAUGUGCUCAGGAUGAAUAGGUACAGCUGUCCAGUUCUAGUAGAUAUUUUUCCCUCUGGUUUAUACAUAUUUGAAAAGCUACACAUGAAUAAACACAUAAAUUAAUGCUAGAUGUACUUCUUAUCCAUGCAAGUGUGAGCUGUAUGUAUAUAGAUACACAUACAAAUAUGGGCAUAGUUAUCAGCCUUGGUAUCCUACUUGUUAAGGUAAUUGUGUCAUUUAAAUUCUGUCAUACUUGGUUCAAGACAGAUUCAUUAACUGGUCCUAUUUAUUACUCCAGGAUCUGAGCACCUGUUUCUUAGAGGUAAAACCAGAAUAAAUCUCCUAAUUUCCCAGGUUCUUUUACAUUUUCGCUUCGAAAUAAUGAGACGCUUAUAUUCAAAGAAAAAAAAAUGAAAUAUCUGAUACUGAAAAAUACAAUCAAGUUAAUUAUUUAGGUAUACCGAGGUGAAAUUAUUGCAUUUGUUUGUCUGUGUAGAUAGUUUUCUUUGUGCUGGCAUAAGCCCUGAUGCUGGCCAUAUUCUGUGAACACAGUUAUUAUCAUAUUUAGUAUCUUAAAUGUGUACGUACAUAAUUGCUUUAUAUGUGUUUGUGCUUCCAACAUAUCAGACUGGCUAAGAGAGAGCAUCCAUAGCAGUAUCAAAUUGCUUACUGCUCUCUCCACAGUCAACUAGAGCACAAGGAGGAGAGGAAAGAACAACAGAAGCUCUGACUAACAAUUUCUCUCUCUCUCCCUAUUUAUUUAGGAAUCCAAGUUAACAGAAGGAAGAAACAACUCUUUUGUAGUAAUGCUCUGUAGGGCAUUAUCACAGCUAAUCUUAUGGUGGUAUGUUUUAGUCCAAAAAUGUUACUGCUCAGGUCCAUGCUACACCAUUUGUCAGUUGUUUACACCCUACAUAUGGAUUAGCACUGUAUGCCAGCCAUGAAAACCUGUUCUGCUCUUAACCCACCUGCAUGAAGCGCUGAAGCAGCUCACUGCAUCUGAUAUUUAGCUUUACUUCCUUAAGAUGUUGGACCACAAGAAGCAGGCACAGGUACAGGUAACUUGGUAGUGUAAUAAACUCUCCCCAUGUUUCAUCCACCAUUGGCUGUCAAGUUUAAAGAUGUUUGUAAUGAUUUGCCACUGGUGAAAUCCAAAGUAAGACUAGGAAUGUGUCUGUUUUGGCCAACUAGUAAUGACAGCUUGAAUGAUAUUGCACCAAAGUACUUUUGGACCACUAUUGGUUCACUGCCUGAAAAUAAAAUCUUUUUAUUUAUUUUGUCUCCUAUACCCACCAUUCAGAUUUCCUUCAGGAAACAUACCCUGGCCCCUGUCCACUAUCGGAUAGGUGAGAGCGAGGCGGUCUUUGCAGUGGUUAAGCACAAAUUUUGCAGAGAAGGGAUAAAGUGUUGUGGGCAAGGACCUGUGGGCUGAAAGUCAGAGUGACCAUGAUGCAGUGCCAUCACCCCACCUCACAGCUCAGAGUCUUGCAUAUCGCAUGGGCUGCCUGGAGCCUACACAGUUCACAGAGUGGAAAAAGGAAUUGAAGAAGCAAAAAUAAAUACUAAAGCAUGUAAGAAUUAAAUAUCACCUAUUUAAAUAGCAAUUACGCCGCUAAAAACAAGAUCACCACACCUGUACAAGAAAAGACAAGCAAGCCCAAAACAUCUGUUUGCAUCCACCUGCCAAGCACCUGUUCCGCUGUUUCAAUGCCAUUUGAUUGCUGGAGAUGUAGAGGCUCUUGUGAGGCUGGUCGUCACACAGGAAACUGUAUGCAGAGUCCAUCAGCCCAUGCUCUUCAUCACGAACUCAGUUGCUCUUUAAGACCAUCUCCCAGAGAUGAGGAAGAUGCGUUGAUCCAAACGAGACGCAGCCAAGCUUGGAGCAUCCUCUCUGCUCCAUCCCAAGAGGCUGCUGUGGUCUGGAUCUCAUCUCGUCUUCUAGUAACAUCUUCCAGAUUUGUUUUAAACUGAUUAGACGCUGCUGAAGAAUCAGCUCUCUCCCCCGGACAGUACAAAGCAGAGUGCUGGCAGAGCUGGCUCUUGGCCAUCAUCUACAUGGUGACGCAGCAUCACAUCACUUGACAGCCCCAAUUUCAUUUGGGGAGCUCUGAAACGUUCACAUGCACUGAAAAAAAUUAUAAUAAUACACAAGGUGACAGGAGGGUGCAAUUAAAACAGAAGCGCCAGCUUGACCAGAGAGUGGCUUUAAUUGGAGGUCUUCUGUACGCUGGAGCACAGACUCUAAAAGGUAUUUCUGCCUUUCUAAUGUGGCUGCAUUUCUGCCUCUGAAUUUUGAUUUUGAAAAACAGAAAAUGAUGCCUUUUUUAUUGGGCCAGUGAGAGAAAUUACAGGGAAUGAGCUGAGUGAAUUUAAAAUUCUCUCAGUAGGGUAUAAAGGCAGGGAAAUACUUGUCCCUCCAUAGCUCAGUAACUUCCAGUGCAGGUUAUACAUAGGAACACUCGUUCCCAGUGCCCACCUAAGCAUGGGGGUUCAUGUAAGUGAGGAUCACAUGUGUUGUCACCACCUCGAUUCUCUGCUGGAUGGAUCUCACCCUCACUUUAAACAUAAGGAAGAAAUUCAGAAGGUCACCACAUCAAAUACUAAUUCUGAAAUUCAUUUCUCCCUAAAGAUUAAUAUAAAGCCCAAAAUGAAAUACACUGAAAAUAAGCAAAGUUAGCUGCAGUAUUUGAGUCUUCCCAUCACAGUGUCCUAAGAGGUAUCCUGUGGUUUGACACAUAAUUAAUAUGUUUAUCUAUCUUUGCUUUCUUUCAUUCUUUGUUUUCAAUAACAGCCAUCACCAUAAUAGUCAAGUAUAAACAUUCCAUCCUGUUUCAUAAAGAGCCUACGGUCCAUUUUAUUGCAACACAGUUACUUUCCCAGAUCCCACGAGUGACAAGGCGUGAUGCUUGAAAAAAUUCUCUGAAAUUUUCUCACCGUUUUUGCUUGAAGUAAGUUGCAUUCUGUUUACAAACUUGGGAAAAUGGGCCUCUUUUGCCUACUUUUGAGUGUCAUGGGAACACAUACCGAGAUCUGAUCCAGUAGCACUGCGUGAUGCUGGGAGCUUCUCAGGGUCCCGUAGUUUGCCCCCGAGGGUGUUUCAGGAUGCGGUGUAAAGUUGCAUGCUGUUUGCCAUGUCCAGGGUCCCAGACACAUGGGGAAUCAGACUGGCUCCAAUAUUGAAAGCUGAUCAUUUUUCAGACAAACAUAGAUAUGACUUUUGUUAUUUAUUCACGCUGAAAUGUUAAUAUGUCCUCAUUACUCUAAAUUAUUUCAUUUUCAACUUACAGUAUGUUCAUGGAUUAUUUGAAGGAAUUACUGGCUUUAGCUUAUGUUAUCUGUGACUCACUUUUAAUAGACUUGACUGGCCAGGUAAUUUCCACAGUAUUGUUUUUGGCUCCUUAACUGGAUCCCAUCCAAGUUUACAAAGCGCUUCCACAGAGAUAAUGGAGAACAUUCCAGCCUCCUGUGAAAUGUCAGCUCUGUGUCCAGUGUUAGACGUGCAGCAUUAACCUGGUUAAAGCUGCUGGAUUCUGUAAUUUCUUUCUUGGAAGUACCAAACAUCCUAAAGACACCAAGUCAAAUCUGCCAAAAGCAGGAGAGAAAAAGAAAAUGGGAGACUCAGAGUGAGAGUGAAAAGUAAAUGCAAUGCUAUUACUUUACACCAAAGAACUGUAAGUUAAUUGAUGUCCAUAAUAAACUUUCAGUAGAAAAGUAUUAAAUAUUUUUGAAGACGUCUGUAAAUCCAGUAUUGGAAAAAAAAAAGUUACUGUUAUCUGGGUUUAAUCAGCUGAGAAAAGCAUGAUGAUAAAUAAGAUUUAGUGGAAGCAUAAAUUGAAAAUGGCGAAUAAUACUUUUAAAAGGGAGCCUACUGGAAUACGUAUGUCUCUAUGUCUCUGAGGUAUUUGAUUUGGAAUAUAUAAUCAUCUCCUUUGAGGAUAUUUAUGAAAGUUAUUUCUGAAUGUUCAGAGAUUUCUCUGCUUUUCAUUAUCUAUUUUUCUUAACAAGGGCCAGAACUGUAUGCCUGAUUUUCUGUGAUAUAUUCACUUGGGAGGUUUUCUCGUACUGGCCAAGGACACAUCGUUUACAAGAAGGUCCUGUCAAGCAUCCAAAUGUCUCUGCUGAAGCUUCCAUUUUAGAUGACCCCACAGAAUGUGAGAAAACCUUCUUUUAGGGGAAUGGCAUCUUCUGGCCAGAGCUGUGUCCUGAAAGGCUGCCGUGCUUAACGCACAGUUGAAAUGCCCAAUGCAAAUUAAUGGUAGAGGUAGGGAUGAUGUACCUGUGUUUUCUCAAGAAAGAAAACUCAAACCCUUGGGAUGAUAUUUUCUGCAUGCAUGAUUACCUUCAUUGCAAUUUGGAUUUCUGAGAAGGUCAGUUGGACUUUUGGGCCCUGUGUUCUGGAGAAAUCUGAAGAAUUUGGGUCAUCUUCCUCUCUUGACUUAAAAAUAACUUCUGUUAAUGCAAUUUGGAAAGCAUAUUUCUUUGAAUAUGAUCUUCCAUUUGCAGAGGGGGCAAAGUUUACAAUUUUGGGUGGAAACCAUGUGAAAGCUAGCAGUUCCAUCAGGGGUUUGUUUGGAAAUUUUUGGAUUUGUUCAAACUCAAAAGUCAAAGUGAAACUCGGGGGAUGUGAACCCGCUUGAAUCAAAACCAAAACAGUGAUGCGCCAGAUCUCCCAUGAACCAAAACCACCGGGUUCUCACAGUUCUCAUCCAAACAAAAAUGCACUAACAUAAAUCAAAUACCGAACCAAAUAUCCUCUUUUGCUCCAUCUGGCUUUCAUGGAAAUAACUCAGAAUAUUUAAAAGGUCUGCUCAGUUUUGCAGCAGCAACCACCAAAAUAUCCUGAGAUCAUUUGAUAUCUGGCAGUUAAUAUCCUGAUCUAUUCUCUUUAGUCAGUAUUCCAAUCCUUUUCUACCAACACUGCCUUGGAGUGCACAGCGUAACUAUCCCUUAACAUCUUCCUCGAUUGUACGGUUUCACAGGGAAGACUCUGUGAACAAUUCACUGUCCUUCUCCUUCUCAUUCUUGCUCAGAGAGCCAAGAAAGGAGUUGGAGCUGCAAGCAGAAAAAACCAAGCAGUACGAUCAGUACGGAAGCAGAACACUUAGCUGCUAUAGGACAAGCUGGGGCACUGAGAAAAUAUUUAAUGAUAAUUUUCCUUGUGAUUUCCCUUGUUUGAGACCAUACUAUGACCCUGAAAUGAGAGAAUUAAAAAAAAAAAAGAUGUUUUGCAGCAUAUCAUGUAGCAAAACGUCUCUAAAGCCAUUAAAAAAAGUGCUGGGCAUGGAAGAACAGAAAAGGUUUCCUCUGUAACUAAGACACGCUUGUUUGUAAUAACAUGUGCUUUCAAACACUGCCAAGUUGCUGAGGAUAUCUCUGUUAUAUACAAUCCUGAAAAAUGUAAGUGUUAAAAAAAACAAGGUAAUGUAAAAAAAGAAAAAAAAUCUAAAAAAAAGAAGAGUUUGAUCAGAUGGUUAAAAUCCAGUCAAACCUAAGACAACCUGUUUAUGACCUUUCCAUGCUAAAAGCUAGAAAUGUCUUUCUUUCUUUCUUUUUUUUUUUUUUUUCCACAAGAUUAAUUACCAUCACUUUGGGAGUAGUGAGCUGGACAUUAUUAUAUGAUGUCAAUUAAUGAUUAAAAAAAAGGUGGUUUGCAAAUGUAGCACCACAGUCCCUGGUGCAUUACAUCAUUUCUGAAAGAUCUUAACACGUGAUAAGCAGAGAACAUUUUAACCUAAAAGUCUGAGUGUUACAACCUCCUUUUCUGUUGUAACACCCUACCCACAACCUUUUGGCCUUGAAGUCACUCGCAAUAAAAUUAAGAAGUCAAAAAGAAAAGGGGGGAAAAAAACCUCUGGGAAAGACAAGACACACUUCUGUUUUGCUGUCGAGCAGAUAAUGCAACAAAAUGAGUGGCUAUACGCAUUGGGAAACGUGGUUGCUGAUCUUUGUGCAGUGUUCUCAGCAAGAUUCGUCAUCAAAAUCUCAUGCUUAGAGUCGUAAGGUUGCUGUGAUUCAGGUAUUAUAAACUACAUAAUGCAGUUAUCUCUGUGAGAGUGCCUCGAAAAUUUCAUGCGCUGACUGAAAUGACUCCUGCACUUGUCUAUGCGCUGCUUUCCCAGAUGGGCUGACAGUGAUCAUUUUAUGUGCCUUAUUGAAUUCGCUGAAAUAUUUAGAAGGGUUUCUACCUAUAUUUUACAUCUCCUUCUGUUAUUACCUUUUUUGCAGCAACAGUUUGACUUCUUCGUCAAUAAUACACAUAACCUGAUCCAUUCUUCUCUGAGCUCUUCUCCUCUUUUAGCGUCAAAAUGCUGUGGAUGUUCCUUUGUAAACGAUAUGCAUUUAAAAUACCUUUGUAAUAAUAAAUACCACACGAACAUAUGUAUCAAGGAAAGGAUUUCAAUUUUGAUGACACUUGCUUCUCAAGAACAGACAUUCUGGAAGGAAAAAACAUUGCCAGCCCCAAAUUGAUUGACAUUUGUUUACUUAACUCUCUCUUCUUGAAAGUCUGCACACCUAUUUCAACCUUGAACAGUUUCCAACUGUGGUAUACUGGAACAUUUUUUCAUUUAUUAAGUUCAGUGUUGCCAACCCAAACAAAGAGUAAUCAGUGAUGAUCCAAGCAGACCAAGCUGUCUAGCACCAUACAAUGUAUCUGCAUGCUAAUUUUCAAAUUCCCUCACAUUUCCAGAGAACUAAUGGGAUCAUUUUCAUUCUGUUACAGCAACUCAACAGUUACUGAAUCACCAUCUGUGUUUUCGUUAACCUGAAUCAGAUAUGAAUUCUGUUAUUGCAAGGUAGAGCAGCUUGUUUAAUGAUUCUUAAUCUUUUCUUUAAUUAAAUCAUGCAGCCAACCUGAAAAAUCUAUCUUAAUGCAAAUUAGGAGCUUUUUUGGCAUUCACUUACAGUAAUGCACUAAUAAGGUUAAUUUAUGAAGGUUCUCUUCCAGUCUGUACAGAUGAUAUUUGUUCGCUGCAUAUUUUUAGCAUAUUGUCCCCUUUUCUAAUAUUUAAAAAAAUAUCGCUAAUAAAAAAGGGGUUGUUUUCACUCAUACAAAAGAGGAAGGCUGCGAGCUGCUUUUUGUUUAUUUGAAAGAACACAGAAAAGGAAGAUGGGUUUCUCCCCUCCGUGAGCAUCUCUCCACGCGGGUGCAGAGGCACAAAUCGAGGACUGCUGGGUUAAAUGGUUUUGGAUGAGCACUCUCCACUUCUCGCUGGAGAAAUUCAGGCCCUGGUUCAGAUGAGCAUCUUGAAGUUAUCAGUGGAGACAGAGAGUUUCUCUGAACCCUUUGUUUUAUUUUUUUUCCUUGUAGGUGUGAAUUAAUUGUAUAAAGAGUAAAUAAUUCUUGUGAAAUAAGCCCGAAUACUUUCCUCAGUUGCACAAUUGCUUCAGCUCGGGGCUCUGAUGAUCUCAGUCAAGAAAAUUUCUGUCUUUGAACGCAUUCCUCCCAACUACAGAAUUAGUUGAAAUCUGUUCAAGUUGCUGAGUAAAGAGUAAACUUUGUUGUUUUCUUUUUAAGGUUAUUUUUCAACACCCACAAGCAAAUGGGGACAGCGACUGCAAAUUUCAACACGCGGCCGUUGCUAUUUAAUUAAAAUCACUGAGGCUGGCUGAAGACUUUUCAGCAGAGUGAUUUCACAUCAGAGAACACCGGUUCUCAAAAUCUGAACAUUCUUUUCAUAGAAAUCCAUCCCUCCAUUUCAACCAGGAAUGAGAUUUCAGUUCUAGGAAAGGACUUCUCAUCCCAGCUAGGAACGGCAAACCAUCACUCCCCUUUUGCGGCGGGGCUGCCCAACCGUGGCAGCCAGAGCAUCUCUUUCCACCCCUCUCUGUAUUUCCAGCUGUAAUCGUUCCAUGUCUGUCUGCAUUAACUAUUUGCACAGCUCAGGACAGGAGCUCUUGUCCGAGGAGUGGGGAAUCACCAAGGCUGUGAUUCUCUCUGUUUCAUUAAAGGUAACGCCUGCAGGGUGGUUGAACCUUCCUCUCGUUCCUUGCGACCGGGGAAUGGAAACAAUAUCUCACACUAUUUGUGCAGUGAUUCCUGGCUUGUUAAUAUUCUGGUGUGGCUGUUUUUCUCUGCUGUGAGGAACUUUGCCCACUUAGCAUGGGGUUUUGCCUCUGUCUAAGUGGGAAUGCUGCUUUUCCUUUUCCCUUCUUCCAUUUGGAAAGCUGUUUUCCUGCCAUUGCUAGUCCUUUCUGUGUAAUAUUACCGCAGAGAGAAUGAAAAGUAACUGCUUUCCUUCCCAUCCAAUCGUACCUACGUAGUCUUAAGUAUAUUAUAUGCUUCGCUUCCUGCUUCACCCACUAGUAAAAUAUGUUGAUAGAUGAAUAUGGGGGUAAGAUUGCUUUAAUUAGAACCUAUUGCCCUGCACACUAUCUUCUCUAAAGACUACCUGUAUUAACAUCUGGGGAAAAUAAGUCUUAAAGAAAAUUUCCUAGGACAGAUUUUUGGACUUCACCCCCCACCUUCUGCUUCCCAACCCUUUCAAUUUCUCAAGUAUAUUUAAAAAUGCAUGACUCACCCUGUUGCUUCCUUAUAUUUUAUGGUGAGGUGGUGAGGGGGAGUCUCUUCAUUUUCAUUCCUGGGAUUACCUUUAAUGAAGUGGAAAACAUCUACGGGAUGGGAUAAUACCUGAUGCUUACAGUUUUCUUUACAUCACAUUACAGUAUUUUCUCAGGUAUUAAAGUAGCACUGGACUCAACUAAGAGGAGUGAUCAAACUGUCUACUAAUGAAGUUACUCUGACAGGAACUCCAGGAACCGGAAACUGAACUUCAGAAUCAUGAAGAGCACUGCUAGAUGAAGACAUGGGCUGGAUACAUGUCUACCACACUAGAAGAAACUGAAAGAAUACGAUCCCAUUUGACUCCAAAAGUCUUUCUAGGCUAAUUACCAGCUCACAGAGCAGAGAAAUUAAGGCAGAGAGGGAAUGUUCAUGAUGACAACCUUUACCCAUUAGCAAGCUUUGCAUUUUCCCAAGGCUGAAGACAGUUUAGCCCUGACAAAUCCAAUCAGUGAUAUGCAGGCGUAACCUCCAGAAAUAAGCUCACAUUUUUGGGAUCCACGGGGCAAAAGAUGGACUGCAGUAAGUCACUAUGAAAAUAUUUAAAAUACAGCUUGGCCAGUGCUGAAAUGGCACAGUUGGCCUGAAGUCGCUUCAAGGUCUCCUGGCAUCUGCGUGUUUCCCCAGUGGCUUUGUGCAGUAAAGUGUUAACUUCUCCUGAGUGGUUACGUGUUUAAGGCAGUAACUUUAAAAUAAAGAACUGCAACCUUAGAGCAAAGCUGCUAUUUUGAGAAUUUUAAACCAUUAUUGACUCCUGUCAGAUCAGUUUCUAGACUUAUUGACUCAAGAAGUAAAUAUAGACUGAGAGAAAGCGAGGUCAAGUCAAUAUUUAUCUUGCAGAUCAAUACAUUUUGAUACUAACCAAAAAUUAAGCUCAAUAAAUGCAUAUAUUAUACACAGCAAGGUUAGAAGAGAUCCAUUCAGAAAAUUUGUCAAUUUGAAAUUUCCCAACGGAAUCCAACCUUUUGGAUUCAAUUUCCAUUAGAAAUUCUGUCCCUUUAAGGUUGCUUCAGUGACUGAUCACGAGCCCCCAUCACCCAAUCAGGUUUCCAGAUGAACGUUGAGUAGCAGCGAAAGGAAAAGGGAAGAAUGAUGAAGUGAGAAGAAGUUGGUCACAGGAGCUCGAUUACGGUGUUAGGAGGAGACUCGGCAGGGAUUGAAAUAACUAAAAAGAGAAAAAGAAAAGUGUUGGUUUUAUUAGAGCGAGUUUCAAGGUCUGUCUGUUUGUGCACAGUCCAAAUCUCAGGCGGCUCAGCUUAGGGUUUGUACCAUCAGGAGAACGGAAGAGCUGGCAAGCUGAGACACUACCAGUACUUUGUGGAAACCGACAUAUGAAUUUGUUCUACAAAUGUGCCAGGGACACACUGAUCCAACAGUUAGAUCACUUCCAGAAGACACGGAGUUAGAUCUCUGAGUUCACUUCCAAUUGCUGACUACUACUAUCCAAUAAAAGAAAAAUUCUGCGUAAAGUAAACAAGGAAAAUGGAGGAGAUUCUGCUGGAAGGACAGAAGGGACAGCAAGCAUGGAGAUUUAAGUCAGAGGAAGACCGACUGUCACUGCAGAGGGGAAAGGGCAUGAGAAUGAGCACUGCAAGAAAAAAAAAUCAUCAAAAAAUUCCUCCUUCUCUGGGAUGAAUACAGGGGAGUAAAUGUGUUCCUACAAAAAUUGAAUUAUGUAGUGAUUUUAAAUAUGGUGUGAGAAUGAAGGACAUAUGAGCUGCAACGAGAGAACCAAAGAGGAAUUAUGUGAUGUGUUCAGGCUGGGAGUGUGCCUCACAUGACAACAGGAAGAGAGGAAAGGUGGAGGAAAAAAAGAUCAGAAUCUACUCUAUUCUGAGCCAUUAAUGUCAGCCAUGUUGAUGUUUUGUAGCUAGUUAUAUUUGCUGAUGGUUCCCACGCACUCAUGACAUUCAACUUUGCAUCAUCCCCUAAAAACUGGAAAGAUGUCUCUCUGAGAAUGACCUAUAGCUUUGAUAUCACCAUAACUAAUUUCCUUUUCCUAAAGUAAUGGUGCCUACUCUUGAGGAGCAGAAUGCUGUGAGCUUUUAUUUCCAGUCUGAGGAUAGUUCUGUGAUAGGUGGAAUAAUGCCAGAACCUACUUUUCAUUAGAUUGUAUGAUCUGACUUUAUCUUGCACGCUCUGUGUGGUUUGAGUGAAUAAAUCACACCAGAAUUUAUGGGGUUUUCAUCCUUACAAAUGAAUCUUCAUCAUUACUAUGUGGAUAUAAGUAUUCUUGGGCUGCAGAAGACAGUGAGACCCACCAGGGCAACACAAACUGAUUCCAACUUGCCACCUACUACUCCCUUAACCCAAAACUCCAAGGACCUGGGCCACUGAAACACUGGGAUCCCAUAGGGACCUGCCUGGCCAUUCCAUUUGGGGUUUGCAGGACAGGAUCCUGGUCUUUUGUGAAAACUGUUGACUAAAAAUUUGAUUUUCUCUUUCUCUUUUUUUCUUUUACCUUAAGAAGGGCAGAAGAGGAAUGGCCAGAAGCCACCUCCUUCUUUUUUGGACCAGCCUGCUUUUCUAAGGGCAACAAAAACCAACAGAAGUGGUAGAGAAGAUGAAUGCAUCUUCCCUCCCUUCACAUAAAUUUGUGGGUUUUUUUUUCCUGUUGUUGUUGUUUUAUCCUUUUUUGUUUUAUUAUUUUUCCUAUUUAUUUUGCAAUUGGAAAAGUCCUGGGAUUUCAUUAACAACUUCCCAGGAUGACAGUGAGACCCUCACGACCCAGCAGCGAGUCCCAGUUCCCACCUGGGUGCCUCUGGAGAGUGACAAAUCUCUUGGAUGUGCUCUAACAUCCCAGAAGCACAGGCCAGGAACAUCUGUCUGUUCCUUCCCUUCCUUCAGACUGCCCCGAGGAGGAGGGAGGCAGGCAAGUAAUGAUACGAAAGGCAAAGGCUCAACUGGCCGUGUUACAUUAGCCAACUCAAAUAAUUCCUCUUGGCUGUGGAAACAGCCUUCCCAUCCAAAGCGGUCUUUUUUUUUUUUUUUUUUCCCUUUUUCCCCCCCAAAAAACAAGAACAGCUUAUUUCCAAUUUUGGGCAGGUUCCUUGGCCAUGGGCCAGCUCUCCCCAUUGCCUCUCCGUGCUACUUCCCAAUGACCCUCAAGUGACCUUACUGAAUGCCACGGGGACCAAACCUUACCGAACAGCAAAAUCAAAGUAUGUAAAUGAAGCUUGGAUUAUUACAUAUAUAAUGAUGAAAAUGUUUUUCCUAUGCUAUUGCCUGUGCCCAGCUUCCUUCCCUACCACUCUGAGUGCUUCAGAGCUGUGUAUAGCUGUUGAGCUGAAGCACCCAAGAAUGGCUCUGAAGCAGGAAGAGAGAUCAAUCUGCAGGCUGGUUUUCCAGGCACUUUCUUUCUCAUUCUCCACAAGAUAGUUGAUAUUCCUCCGGAUUUUGCUGUUAUUAUUUGGGUGUCUCUACUUCACAGAAAAGGGCAGAUGAAUGCCUUUUGCAGCCUCUUCAGUCCACUCUAGUUCUAUUUUAGGCUGAGAAGACUGUGCUGCUUGGGUAGAUGGGUGCAUUUCAUGCCAACAGCUUAGUCUUUCUGCAAAGUUAGGCAUCUCAGUUUGAAAAAAUAAGUACUAGGUAAAGCUGUUUGAAUCAGUGCAGGAAGCUGAGUUGCUAUCAGAUGUAUAUGGCAUAAAGUACGUAUCCUGAUAGGUACUCUUCUUCAAAGGAAAAGUGGUGAUGUUUACUUGUGCAUUUUAAUGAUGAGAGGAUGCGUACUGUGACACGAAAUCCUAUCCACUGUACCAGUUCAACAGCAUUUAAACACUGAAGUCUGAGCUACGCAUAACCAAUGGGAAGGAUGUGGAAGAACGCUUGCCUGAAGACACCUACUCUUUAUUUUUAUUACAAAGUCAAUUACCAUUUCAAAGCAGCCAUGUGACAUGUAUACUGUCAGGAGCCAGAUGUUGGCAUUGUGAUAUUGUGACAUUAAUUUAAAAGAAGAGUCUUUUUUUUUUUUUUUAAAUGCUGACUUCCCAAGGAUUAAGUUGGAUAUUCUCAAUGUAGUUGAAAAAAGAAUUUACAUUCCCCAAAGACAAACAUUCUUGUUUUCUGUUUGGUUUUAUAACUCAGUCAUUUCUCUAUUGAAGAAGCACAAAACAGAAAGAACUUUUGGUUUCAGGUAGUUUCACUUCAGCUGAUCUUUCUAAAAGCAUGCACCUUUUUAGCUGUUUCAGUUAUGAAUCAUAGAAUGGCCUGGGUUGAAAAGGACCACAAUGCUCAGCCAGUUCCAACCCCCCUGCUAUGGGCAGUUGCCAACCACCAUAUCUUCUUUAUAAAGGGAAGUUUAUUAAGUAAAAUUUGGGUUACUGAGGUUUUAGCACAUGUUGCAUUGAAUCCCUUUUUUUCCCCCCUAAAUCACGUGGUUAAACUUAGUUUGGGUCUCUUACAACCAGAAUCCCUGCUGACUCCGCUCUGGUCCAGGCAGAUUGAACUGAGUCGCAACACUGCUGGUACGCGUCCUCAUCCCCAGUGCCAAGAAAAACCCUUUCCCUCUGUGUUUUCUUGUUAGCAAUACUGCUAUGGAGGCCAAGGACUGACAAUCUUUCUCUUAAUUCUCAAAUCCUCUCCUCCAACAGGGAAGAAGGAAAAAGAUUGAAAAACCUUUUGCUAUUGUUUGGUUGUUUGAUCAUAAAGGGGAACUAGACUGCCAAGCCAGCACCCCAGCAGCCCUAAAUCUAUGUGUAAAAUAUGGGCAAAAGGAGAGAAAAGAUUUAUUGUUAUUAUUAUCAUUACAGACUACCUUUAUAAUAUAUGUGUUUCACUUAAAUUAAUAUUUUAUAACUCUAUAUCAGCCUCUGCAGCCACCCAACAGCAUUUCUUAUUUAUCCAGUCGGACAUACUAAUUUGCUUUUAUCAAAAUACUUGAGAAAUAAUUGUCUUACCUCUCCUAGGACAUGCUACAGGGUUUAUUCUCUCCUUGCUAUCUACAUAGUUAUAAAUCCUCAUGCAUUGAGAGCAGAAUAGGCUUUAUGUGUCUAGCAAUUUCUUAUGAUUUCUAGGCUAUUAUCCCCAAAUCCUAAUUAACCAUUUUUAAAAAUAAUGUGGCCUUUCUACCACGUGAGAUAUACCAACAUGAUAAGAUACGAUGUGAAAGUCCCAAGUAUAAUGUAAUUCUGCUGCUUUACUUUUCCUCUUUUAUUAGAGAUUUCUAACAUAAUACUGCAUUUUCAUCCAAAGUGACAGGAUUCAGUACAUAGUUUGUAGUAUAUGUUUUGCAAACUGCCAGAACAGAGCCAUUGAAUUUAGUUUUCUAAUAAUCAUACAGCCAUACAACACGCCCGUACAUGUCAGAAACUGAAGAAAGCAAAUUUAUACACAACAAUGUGUAUUUUGUAGAUAGCGAUAACCCACCCAAAUCUAAUUUAAUCAAAUAUUUAAAGAGGUAAUAAUUAAUUUUUAAAGAAUUGAAGUGAACCGUAACUAGGAGGAAAUGUUAUUGUUUAUUUUUAAUGCCAGAACUGUAUUCCUGAUGCAUUUUUAAUAUUUCAUUAAGGUGGUAACUUUCAUGGCGUAUUUUUUCAAGUUUCAUAUCUCCCUGAUUUAUUUCUUUUCUUCUGAAGAAAGGUAAAAUGCUAUAGGGAAACUUAAAGCUUAGAAUGAUGCAUUCUUUGAGGAGCUCUUCCUAAAACUUCCUGGAGUCUUUUUAAGCAGAAUUCUUCUUAAGCCUUUCUGGACAAGCAUUCUAAAACCAGAAGUCUUUUAAACAAGCUGAGGUACAGCAUCUGCUUCUGAGCUGAGCAAAGGGUUCUUCUUUCAGCCAAUGAAUGUGUUCAUUGGGUACUACUUUCUAUUCUGUCUCCGAGCUAUUACUCAUCACUCAUCAUUCUUACUUUCCAGAAGAGAUAUCUGCAAGAAUGGUUUUAAAGCCCAUUGCAUUUCAAACCUGUGUUCUGCCCUUCCUCAGUCCUUUGUUUUUUGUUUUAUCCCUUCUUUUCGAUGGAGCGUCUCUCACGUUUUUGAGCCUUUCAUACUCAAACUGUGGAAGCCUGUUUAUUUCACUCUGGCUCCAGCCCUAGUUAAAGGUGUGAACUACCAAAGUGGAAGGGGGCACAUGCACAUUAACACUGCUGUGGAAAACGUCGCCUGACAGAUGGAUGCAUGUUAAAUGGGUGUUUGAAGAAAGGUGUUUGCAAUAAAAAUCCUGAGUAUGGCAUCAGAGGAAGACCACACACAAUUUUCUACUUUUAUUUCUGUAAUAUAUAGGGGCCAGGCUACUUCUGGUCUGCUUUAUACUGUCACUUAAUCAUAUUUGCUAUUUUAUACUAAUAAUUUGUAUAUUAAUAUUUGUGUGUGUAUUUCAAAGUCUGGCUGUUUUCAAGGGUCUGCUCUGCAGCACAAGGGUCUGAGUCAACAUAGUAUAAAUCAUUGGUUUAUUCAAUAAACAAAAUAGUGAAAGGAUAAAUUGAAUUUCUCCAGUUUCAGUCACCAGUUCUUGAUCUCUGGGGGAUACUCACCUAAUAUGUUAGUUAUGGAGCUAUGAAUAUGAUGUGCAGAUACAUCCUUGCUUGGGUUUAUCUACCUUGACCUUAUCUACCCUAAGAACUGAAGUGUUUAAAUUCUGGUUGAGAAUUGAAGCAGGUGAUUAGAACUAGAUGAUCUUUGAGGGCCCUUUCAACCCAAGCCAUUCUAUGACUCUUUGAAAGAGGAACUGUAGAUAAGUUCACUCAAUUUCUGUUCCUAAGUCCUUAGCUGUUCUCUGGAUGGAUAACAGGAUUUUUUAGGCACAGCAUUGCAUUCUCUACCAUCUUUGCUCUUUUCCCAAAAUAUUUCUGACUCAGUCAUCUCCUGCCUACACAGCGAACUUUUGCGCCCCCUGACUUAGGCUGAAUUGGUUUCUCUUUAUGUACAAACAGGACUGCUUUUUCUUUCCUGAUUUCAUAAUUGCUAUUUCUAUUGGUUUGCUUCUUUUAGUUUUCAAUUCUACUUCAACUUGACUAUGAAGAUUAUCAAGAAAUAAAGCAUGAUUCACAUCUACACAUAGUUUACGACCUUUAGAUUCAAGUCCCUUUAUAUAAACUUGCAAAUACGAAAGGAUACGUCAUAAGACCUUGUAGGCACCCAAACUGUCAGUGAAUUCAGCCUGAAACUGUUUUUUUCAGCUUUAUUGAGACCUCUUUAUAAGCUGUGCUUGUGUUAUGACAAUAGAUUGUUUACAGAUUCUUAAAAUGUCCUGAGUUGAUGGAAAAAAAAGGGCAAUUUUUUUCCUUACAAAUACCACUUGACUUUGAGGAGUGUUUGAAGCUACACAACCAGAAUAGGAACAUUCACACCCGCUGUACGAGUGGCUCAAAAACCCUGUCAUUUCUCUCAGGCCCAGCUCCAGCAAGCACUUACACACAUGCUUAACUUUAUGCACACGAGUAAUCCCAUUGAUUUAAUGGGAUUAUUCCCCUAUGCACAGUUACGCAAACAUAAGUGUUUGCAGGACUGGGGUCUAUUUCUCUUGCAAUGAUUUGAAACCUGUGGAAGAAAACGCUAUAUGCAAGUUAGAUAUUAUUUAAUGGCCACAUAUUAAGCCUGAAUAUUUCUGCUGAAAUUGGUGAGGCUGUGUGAGUUUCUUUCUGGCUGAGAAACUGUCCUCUUCUGUGCACAGUGCACACUCCUAGCUUGCUAUGGUGCACCGUGGCUAUCACAGCAUACAAAGGCAUAUGGGAACUGUUGAGUCACAGCCUGAACCACUGACUGAGCACCUGGGGAAAGGACCUGGUCAGCCCUGGGAGCACAGGUGAAGGCAAUUCACCUGUAUGACUGGAAGGGGUGCAGCCUGGCUCCACCUCUCUUAGAUCUCAUUUAAGGGCUGACUGCCACUGGGGAAGGAUCUCCUUCUGGAGAUCCCUCCUUGAUGGAGCUUUCCUUUGUGAACCUGGAAUCAUCUGAUACAGGUGAGCAAUCUUCUUCCCUUCUGUUAUAGCACCUGUCUAUCAUGCUUAUCCUUCAUCAUUAUAUGUCUAGUGAAACACCUUUUCCCAUCAUAUUUAUCUGUCCAUUUACUACAAAAACAAAACGGAGAGAUAAUCAGUAGUAGAAGUACUAAGAGAGAAAAUUCUCCAUGUCCAGAGGUUACUGUAUUUCAAAGCAUUGAUUUAUAACUUGACAAUGACAUUUACAAAACGUUCCUCUAUGUCCAGGAUAUCCUUCUCAUUAAUGCAAUAACAUAAUAACUCAUAAAUAUUUCAUAUAUGUAGAAAAGGCUUACUUUAUAUAUACAUAUGUGUAAAUAAAGAAAUCUAUACACAUAGAGAUGUAUAGUAGAAAAGUACUUCCAAGCAUCAAAAAAACUAUGCAUAAAAUUGUAUGCUCGCAUGCACAGGAUGAUCAUUGUUAUGAAAAUAACUUUGGUAAAAAUAACUGAACUUGAAGUUGCCUCUGACUUGGAUAGUUCACUUUUGAUUUGAAAUUCUGCAGCCAAGAUAAUUUUUAAAAAUUUAGGGCUAGUAACCAUCUGCCAUAAAUGAUAGAAAUUAAAUAUAAAUAAAAUAGUACUUCUACUACCAGUGAUGGGAAUCACAAGCCAAAUGUAUCCAUGGUCUAGGCAGCAGGAACACUUGUAGAACGAAAGCAGCUAAAGGAGCUGUUUUGGCCCAGACAUGUUUUGAUGUGUAGUGUAUCCUGUUGGCUGAACAACAGCAUUAUUAAGCAAUUUGGGCUGGAGCAUCACUGGGCUCUGUGAAGAAUUUGAAGAUCUUGACUGGAGCGUGUUGCAAGAAGAAUCAUGCUGUGUCAUUCAGUAAAAAUAUAAUCAGUCUUACGCCACUGGCACAUUCAAACACCUAGUGGGAUAUGCUGGGCAUCAGUGUUCAAGGUUUUAUGUAAGGUAACAGCUGCUUUGGUCAGGCAGUUAAUUAAAUGUGUUAAUUUUCCAUACAACCAACAGUAGUGACAACAGAUCAAAGUGGAAUUUUAUGACAUUUCAGGGUUCCCUUAUGUGAUCACAAUGGUGGAUGGCACCCACGCUAUCUUUCACAUCCCUUCACUGUAUGAUGCUGCCUUUCCCCUCUGGAAAGCUUCAGUCUUUGACUCUGCAAAUACUCCAAUGGUAAUACUCUGAUACUACUUGCUGGAUAUUGCCAGUUGUCCCAACUCCAAUCUUGAAAAGCUGCUUGGGCUUAUUCCCAUACUGAUGUUGGUUUAGUCUGAAGAUGAAGCAAUUCAUUUGCAAAGCUAUUUUUAAUUUUCUCCCUCCUGUCUUACAUUUCUUAUGAGAAAUAUUCAAUGUAGUGUGGAAAUAAACUAGUAUGGUAUUUUUGAAUAGAUACUGUAUUCUUCAGAUGUAGAAUUACAGAAAAUUAUUUCCUUUUCCUUGAUAGUUCCGUUUGCUGCAUUGCGAGAUGACAAAUUCAACCUUUUCCAUAACAUUGCUACUUUCAUAACACAGUAAUAACUCAAAGGCAUCGGGAAAGAUAAGUGUUGCAGUAGAAAGAAUCUUUCCCAUAAAGAACAACGUGACAAUUUUCACACUGAACUUUCUGCCAUGUACAUCUGUGGCGGCGGUUCUGCAGAUACACGCACACCCGACCUGAAAUCAGCCCUGAGAGUAGAUGGGUAUGUUUGAUGAAGGGGUCAUUUAAACCACAAAACCUUUCAGCACCCUGUGUCCCAGAUGCUGGACCACAUAGCUAUGAAGUGUGGUGAGGAUGGCUCACCAGCCUUAUUGCUCUGCCUUGUAGGUUCCCAUCCUCAGAAAGCCACGGGCAUAGAACACAUAAAAUCAUAGAAUCACCAAGGUUGGAAAAGACCCACAGGAUCACCCAGUCCAACCACUCACCCAUCAUAAAGAGAUCAAAGAUGUGGAUGAGGAGGAAGCACUUCUAUUGUGCAUUUCUUCUGAAGGUGCAUCCACUAGCUGAGUGAAAUUUGGAUAGUGGGAAAUGUUUAUUGUCUGAAAGAGUGGUUGGACACUGGUACAGCCUGCCCAGGGAGGCGGUAGAUUCCCCAACCCUGGAGGUGUUCAAGAACUGUGGAGAUGUGGCACUGAGGGACAUGGUAAGUGGGCAUGGUGGGGCCGGCUGGUCUUGGGCUUGGGAUCUUAGAGGUCUUUUCCAGCCUUAAUGAUUCUGUGAGUCUAUGACUGUAAUGUCAGAAAUGGUUUGAACUAAAUAGUGUAUUCUAACUUGCAAAGAAAUAUAUAAACAAGGCCUGUUGACCAAGAAGCCAUAGGAGUGAUGAAAUCCAUGUUGCAAAUUAUUUUGCUUCUACAUUUCCAAUGGAAUUAAUGACCAUUCACAAAGAUUUUAAUCUCUGACAUAGAUGAAUGCCAGGAAAUAUAAUUUUAUAAUAUUCUGAAGUGUUUAUAGCACAUAACAAGCUUUCAGAAUGUGGUUAUAAACUUGAUUCAAGUCCUACAGGUAAAUAACAUAAGAAAGGAAUAAGUUAUCUUACAUUUUGGAUACUAAAAAAGCAGAUCUCUCAACAAAGUCCAACCAGGGAAUGUUCUGUUGCCUAGUCAGUCUGUGUGACAUAGUCAGACAUCUCAAAAAUUAGGGUGUUUCUCAUUAAGAAGAGUCAAGAAGAGUGCCAUUAAGAGCAGUCACCACCUGUAUGGAGCGCAGAGCUCAGCACACCUGGCAAGGGAACUCCUCGCCAUAAAACCAUGGCCAUGAGUCCAACCAAAAAACUGCAGAAGAAGAGGAAAAUUAGUAAAGAUCUCUUCUGUAUAUAUUUCCCAGUGAAGUGUAGUAUCUUCAAACUGUUUCUUGGUAUAGCAUCUUUGAUGCCAGCACUUAUGUCAGAUGAGUCUACAAAGAUGACGAUUGACGUCACUGGAGAAUCUACAAGUUCUCUGUGAGCAAAGAUAGACAAAAACAGACCAACAAACCAAAUUCUUCUCCCUGGACUAACAUAAGACCUAAACAUGCACGCAGCUCUGCACAGCCAUAUCUAAUUGUAAGGUCAUGCCUUUCCUUAAUGAGCUUGCUAAAAGUUUACACCAAGUUUCCUCAGUGAAACAGGUUGGGUCUCAUUGAUCUCCAGCCAGGGCUGUCAUUAAAGAGGAUGGGGUUCCAAUUUCUGAUUAAUGAAAAUUAUAAUUACGUACAGAUAACAAAGAGAGAGACGCGUUUCCAUGUUACUUUAAACAAAGAAGAGUUAAGGCCUUAUCUUAACUAUGCAUUGGCACUGCAAUGCGAAAUGGUCAUGCAAAAUUAAUUUUUAAUGUGUUCAAUUUAUAUUAAAAAUUUCUGCAAGUGUGUGAUUUUUUUUUUUCUAAGGCUGGAGUGCUACUUCAUUUACAAUAUUCCCUGAAGGUGUUUUUUUUUUAAAGAGACUCUUAAACUGAAGCCAUUUUAAGGGUUUUAUGAGACAUUAUGUGAG